CCACCACCAUUUUCCCUCCCCAUUCCAGCAACUGUCCCGAGAUAUCUGGGCAGACGUCACGCGGCCGGAGCUGUGGCUGUGUGAAGUUGUCUCCGGACACUGGACAAGGCUUUCACUUGGUCGUGCAUAAAAGCCUUGAGGCAUCAGAUGGUCUCGUGCCUGCCCUGUGUACCAUAUAAACUGUGAGGAAGCAAAUCAGUAAGCUGCCAAACUUUUGGAAGAAGACACCUCUCCUGUCUCCUCCAGAGCUCUCCGACUAGGCUAUGAUGAGAACUUCAGCACCAACAGUCACAGUGAGAUUCCACCUCAAUUGGCUCUUACCUCCAGAAGACAGCAGAAAAGCCACCUUUCUCCAGGAGCGGUCCGGGUCCUGGAAAGGCUGGAGCCGCAUCAAGCAGGCUGGGACAUAUUCAAGCACGUCACUGAGACCAACAGGCAGCAGCAAGAGCUGCAGCGGCAGCCGCCCUGAGGCCUGGCACCAAGACGCCUUGCCCCGAGGGGGGAAUACCUGUUUAG